rnacentral:misc_RNA from 1 species
GGUUCGAUCCUGGCUCAGAUUGAACGCUAAGCGCGGGAUGCCUUACACGCUGCAAGUCGAACGGCAGCACGGACUUCGGUCUGGUGGCGAGUGGCGAACGGGUGAGUAAUGUAUCGGAACGUGCCCGGUAGCGGGGGAUAACGGCGUAGCUAAUACCGCAUACGCCCUACGGGGGAAAGCAGGGGAUCGCAAGACCUUGCACUAUUGGAGCGGCCGAUAUCGGAU